GUUCUAGUUAGGUUCAUUCUUUUUUACUGUGAACUGUUUUAAUUUUCAGCGUUUGAGGAAUGUCUUUUAGUCAUAGGGAUAGACUAUUAGAAUGUUAACCGAGCUGAAGUCAGGUUUAGACCUGGUAUCCUAUUAAUUAUUUACCAAAAGAAUUCAGUAUUAUUAUUGUAACAUAAGCGUAAAAAACUUAUAAAACAACUUUUAACAACGGAUCUCUUGGUUCUCGCAUCGAUGAAGAACGUAGCAAAGUGCGAUAACUAGUGUGAAUUGCAUAUUCAGUGAAUCAUCGAGUCUUUGAACGCAACUUGCGCUCAAUGGUAUUCCAUUGAGCACGCCUGUUUCAGUAUCAAAAACACCCCACAUUCAUAAUUUUGUUGUGAAUGGAACUGAGAAUUUCGACUUGUUUGAAUUCUUUAAACUUAUUAGGCCUGAACUAUUGUUCUUUCUGCCUGAACAUUUUUUUAAUAUAAAGGAAUGCUCUAGUAUUAAGACUAUCUCUGGGGCCUCCCAAAUAAAACUUUCUUAAAUUUGAUCUGAAAUC
rnacentral:rRNA from 1 species